rnacentral:rRNA from 1 species
CAAGCGGUGGAUGAUGUGGAUUAAUUCUAUGCACCGCGAAAAAACUUACCUACCCUUGACAUGGUCCGAAUCCUGUAAAGAUAUGGGAGUGCUCCCAAGAGAACGGAUACACACGUGCUGCGUGGGUGUCUCCACCUCGUGUGUCGAGAUGUUGGGUUAAAUCCCCCAACGAGCGCAACCCUUGUCAUUAUUUGCCAUCAUUAAAUUGGGCACUUUAAUGAAACUGCCGGUGACAAACCGGAGGAAGGGGGGGAUAACGUCAAGUCCUCAGGGCCCUUAUGGGUAGGGCUUCACACGUCAUACAAUGGUGCAUACAGAGGGUUGCGAAACUGCGAAGUGAAGCUAAUCCCAAAAAGUGCAUCGUAUUCCGGAUUGAAUUCUGCAACUCAACUUCAUGAAGUUGGAAUCGCUAGUAAUCGCGAAUCACCAUGUCGCGGUGAAUACGUUCCCGGGUCUUGUACACACC